UGGCGAACGGGUGAGUAACACGUGGGUGAUCUGCCUUGCACUCUGGGAUAAGCUUGGGAAACUGGGUCUAAUACCGGAUAGGAACCGUCUUUAGUGUGGUGGUUGGAAAGUUUUUUCGGUGCAAGAUGAGCUCGCGGCCUAUCAGCUUGUUGGUGGGGUAAUGGCCUACCAAGGCGUCGACGGGUAGCCGGCCUGAGAGGGUGUACGGCCAUAUUGGGACUGAGAUACGGCCCAG
rnacentral:rRNA from 1 species